rnacentral:rRNA from 1 species
GUGCCCCUAGCUUUCGUCCCUUGCCGUCAGGUCCGUUCUGGUGAGACGCCUUCGCCACUGGUGGUCCUUCAAGGAUUACAAGAUUUCACCCCUACCCCUGAAGUACCUCUCACCUCUCCCGGCCUCGAGCCAGACAGUAUCUCCUGAAAGCCUGACAGUUAAGCUGCCAGAUUUCUCAAGAGACUUAUCCGGCCGGCUACAGACCCUUUAGACCCAAUAAUAACGGUUACCACUCGAGCCGCCGGUGUUACCGCGGCGGCUGGCACCGGUCUUGCCCGGCCCUUGCUAUGAAAUGCUUUUUAGGCAUCUCGACAGCCAGAUUUGUAACCUGGCACUCGAGGUUCCCUUAUC